rnacentral:rRNA from 1 species
ACCUACGGGAGGCAGCAGUGAGGAAUAUUGGUCAAUGGGCUAAGGCCUGAACCAGCCAAGUCGCGUGAGGGAAGACGGUCCUAUGGAUUGUAAACCUCUUUUGCCGGGGGACAAAAGGCCGGACUCGUCCGGUCCUGAGGGUACCCGGAGAAAAAGCAUCGGCUAACUCCGUGCCAGCAGCCGCGGUAAUACGGAGGAUGCGAGCGUUAUCCGGAUUCAUUGGGUUUAAAGGGUGCGCAGGCGGGCCUUUAAGCCGGCGGGGAAAUCGCGGGGCUCCACCCCGCCGAGCCCUCGG